UAACCACAGUCCUGCAGAGCUGAAACUCACGGUCUCAUCGCUUUCCCCACGGAUGACAGGUUUAUAUCUAUGGCACUCGGAAACCCAAAGAAUCAUUUCAGAUCACACAACUGACUUAAUUCAGAUCCCUGGUACACCUCUCCUUACCUUUCUCCCUGAGUUAGCACCAUUUCAGGUCAUACUUUUGUAUAUCAUCCAAUCCCAUCCCUAAAGUACUGUACAGUAUGUAGCUACCAGUGGAAAUUUCCCCAUUGGGGAAAUCUCUUUAUUUUACAAAACUGAGGGUUAAAGAGGAGAAGGAUCUAUUUAAGGUUUUAUCAUUUAUUUUGUUUGUGCAUUUAUUUGACUUGCAUCCAUUAAUACUUCCUGUGUGUCCAGUCCCUUGAACCAGACCAAGGCCAGACAAAGAGCCACAUACUCCACCCCAGACUCCUAGGACAGUGCUUUUUCCCUUGUCCCACCCCAUCUGGCAGAAGGGAUUUUCAUAAUUUCUGCCCACAUUCUGCGUGCACAGGUGACUUGAACCCUUAGUGUCACAAAAUUAACAUCUUUUCACUUUAAUAAAGCAGCUGUGUUUCCACCCCA